UCCCUACGGGGGGCAGCAGUGGGGAAUAUUGCACAAUGGGGGAAACCCUGAUGCAGCGACGCCGCGUGAGUGAAGAAGUAUUUCGGUAUGUAAAGCUCUGUCAGCAGGGAAGAAAAUGACGGUACCUGACCAAGAAGCCCCGGCUAACUACGUGCCAGCGGCCGCGGUAAUACGUAGGGGGCAAGCGUUAUCCGGAUUUACUGGGUGUAAAGGGAGCGUAGACGGAAAGGCAAGUCAGAAGUGAAAGCCCAAGGCUCAACCAUGGGACUGCUUUUGAAACUGUCAAACUAGCGUACGGGAGAGGG
rnacentral:rRNA from 1 species